rnacentral:lncRNA from 1 species
AUUUAAAUAAUGUAUAAUAAUGUAAAAUAUUAUAGAAAUAAAUACAAAUAUUAAAAUAUAUAUAUAAUUACAAUUUAGUUUUUAUUUUUUAUUUUUUUAAAUAAUUUUUAAUAAUAAAAUAAUAAUUAAAAAAAUAUUAAAAAAAAAAAAAAAAAAGACAAUGGGCUCGAGCUCGAGCUCGACACAACUGACACGAGCUCGAGCUCGAGCCAAAAAAAGAG